UACGUAGGGUGCAAGCGUUAAUCGGAAUUACUGGGCGUAAAGCGUGCGCAGGCGGUUAUGUAAGACAGAUGUGAAAUGCCCGGGCUUAACCUGGGAACUGCAUUGUGACUGCAUGGCUAGAGUGUGUCAGAGGGGGGUAGAAUUCCACGUGUAGCAGUGAAAUGCGUAGAUAUGUGGAGGAAUACCGAUGGCGAAGGCAGCCCCCUGGGAUAACACUGACGCUCAUGGCAACGAAAGCGUGGGGAGCAAACAGG
rnacentral:rRNA from 1 species